GGCGCUGUAGCUUAGCAGGUAGAGCUGCUGCCUGCAAUGCCAGUCUCCCAUAUGUGCUCUGGUUUAAGUCCUGGCUGCUCCA
rnacentral:tRNA from 1 species